rnacentral:lncRNA from 1 species
UUCUUUGGUACCAGGGAUCGAACUUGGGACCUUGCGCUUGCGCAGCAGGAGCCAGAACCACUGAGCUAAAUCCCCGGCAUAGACUUGUUUCUUAUAUGUGAUGCCAUUCCAGUACUGGACUCAUGGAGGCUGAGCAUUUAUUCAGGUCCCUGCCUUGUUCUCGGGAGGAAGAAUUGAGAUGCUUGUUCCUUGUUCCACUCUGGGACCUGCCUCAUCCAUGGGAGGAGGUGUUGGGUCUGGCCAUAAUGAU